rnacentral:rRNA from 1 species
UUGUUUUGUUACAAGGGCGUACGGUGGAUGCCUUGGCAUGCUUAGCCGAUGAAGGACGUGUGAGGCUGCGUUAUGCCUCGGGGAGUUGCCAACAAAGCGUUGAUCCGAGGAUGUCCGAAUGGGGAAACCUGGCACUUGUUAUGGAGUGUUACCUGCAGAUGAAUGUAUAGUCUGUGUGGGGGUUACGCGGGGAAGUGAAACAUCUCAGUACCCGUAGGAGAAGAAAACAAUUGUGAUUCUGCUAGUAGUGGCGAGCGAACGUGGAUGAGGCUAAACCAUGCGUGUGUGAUACCUGGCAGGGGUUGCGCGUGUGGUGUUGUGGGCGAUGAUUGUGGGUAUGCUGCCAUGUACCCCUAUGAUGCGGCGUGUUAGCGGAAGUCACCUGGGAUGGUGUGCCGGAGAGGGUGAGAGCCCCUGUACGUGAAGGCGUGUCGUGUUGUGGUGAUUGUUUGCCCGAGUAGCAGUGGGCUCGUGGAAUCUGCUGUGAAUCUGCCGGGACCACCCGGUAAGCCUAAAUACUAAGUGUGACCGAUAGUGGAUAAGUACCGUGAGGGAAUGGUGAAAAGUACCCCGGGAGGGGAGUGAAAGAGUUCCUGAAACCGUGCGCUUACAAUCCGUCAGAGCACCGCGUGUGUGUGAUGGCGUGCCUUUUGAAGAAUGAGCCUGCGAGUCAGCGGCAUGUCGCGAGGUUAACCCGUGUGGGGUAGUCGUAGCGAAAGCGAAUCCUAAUUGGGUGUUGUAAGUGGCAUGUCCUGGACCCGAAGCGGGGUGAUCUACCCAUGGCCAGUGUGAAGCAGCUGUAAGAGGUUGUGGAGGCGCGAACCCACUUAGGUUGAAAACUGAGGGGAUGAGUUGUGGGUAGGGGUGAAAGGCCAAUCAAACUCCGUGAUAGCUGGUUCUCCCCGAAAUGCAUUUAGGUGCAGCGUUAUAGUAGUUUGCCGGAGGUAGAGCUACUGGUUGGUUGAGCGGGACUAUCAUCUUAGCAACAUCAGCCAAACUCCGAAUGCCGGUUAAGUGUUCUAUAGCAGUGAGACUGUGGGGGAUAAGCUUCAUAGUCGAGAGGGAAACAGCCCAGAUCGCCGGUUAAGGCCCCUAAGGGUGUACUAAGUGGAAAAGGAUGUGGGAUCGCGAAGACAGCCAGGAGGUUGGCUUAGAAGCAGCCAUCCUUGAAAGAGUGCGUAAUAGCUCACUGGUCGAGUGGUUCUGCGCCGACAAUGUAGUGGGGCUCAAGUACACCGCCGAAGCCGCGGCAUAGUUUUUGCUAUGGGUAGGGGAGCGUCGUGCAUGGGGUGAAGCCAUACUGUAAGGGGUGGUGGACUGUGUGCGAGUGAGAAUGCAGGCAUGAGUAACGAGAGAUACGUGAGAAUCGUAUCCGCUGGAUGACUAAGGGUUCCUGGGUCAAGUUCGUCUUCCCAGGGUGAGUCGGGUCCUAAGGCGAGGCCGACAGGCGUAGUCGAUGGUCAACGGGUUGAUAUUCCCGUACCCGUAUGCAUGCGACAAAGAGUGAAGCGGUGAUACUAACCACCCUGAACUGGCAACAUGCGCAUCCUUUUGGGUGUGUGGUUGUUGGUGAUGCGUGGGGCCUGAUCCGUGGUAGUUCAGUGAUGGGGUGACGCAGUCAGGUAGCCGCGCCAAGUGUUGGAUAUCUUGGUGUAAGCGUGUGGCACGUCGACUUGUGAAAUGCGGUCGAUAUUUUGUGUGAGGCGUGAUGCGUAGCCCAAUUGUUGGGUGAUGGUGGUGAUCCUUUGCUGUCGAGAAAAGCCUCUAGCGAUGUAUGUGUAUGGCCCGUACCCGAAACCGACACAGGUGGUCAGGUAGAGAAUACUAAAGCGGUCGGGUGAACUGUGGUUAAGGAAUUCGGCAAAUUGCCCCCGUAACUUCGGGAGAAGGGGGGCCCUUGCUGGUUGCAUGCCUUUUUCGGUGUGUUGCUGGUGGGGGUCGCAGAGAAUAGAGGGGAGCGACUGUUUAUCAAAAACACAGGUCCGUGCGAAGACGGUUAAGUUGAUGUAUACGGACUGACGCCUGCCCGGUGCUGGAAGGUUAAGAGGACCUGUUAGGAC